rnacentral:lncRNA from 1 species
GCUGUAUCAGUAAUUCCAAAAGGGAGGAAGUUAUAAUGAGCCAUGUCUGACCUCCCUUCCCAUCAUGGCCUGAACUGGUUUUUCAGGCUGAACUCCAGUGCACCCAGUUAGACUUGGAGCGGAAACUCAAGUUGAAUGAAAAUGCCAUCUCCAGGCUCCAGGCUAACCAAAAGUCUGUUCUGGUGUCGGUGUCAGAGGUCAAAGCAGUGGCUGAAAUGCAGUUUGGGGAACUCCUUGCUGCUGUGAGGAAGGCCCAGGCCAAUGUGAUGCUCUUCUUAGAGGAGAAGGAGCAAGCUGCGCUGAGCCAGGCCAACGGUAUCAAGGCCCACCUGGAGUACAGGAGUGCCGAGAUGGAGAAGAGUAAGCAGGAGCUGGAGACGAUGGCGGCCAUCAGCAACACUGUCCAGUUCUUGGAGGAGUACUGCAAGUUUAAGAACACUGAAGACAUCACCUUCCCUAGUGUUUACAUAGGGCUGAAGGAUAAACUCUCGGGCAUCCGCAAAGUUAUCACGGAAUCCACUGUACACUUAAUCCAGUUGCUGGAGAACUAUAAGAAAAAG